GAGAGGGUNCGGCCCUCGGCAGACUGCUCAGUAACACGUGGAUAACCUACCCUAAGGUGGGGGAUAAUCUCGGAAAACUGAGGAUAAUACCCCAUAGACCUAGAUGACUGGAAUGUCUUUAGGUUAAAAACUACGGUGCCCUAGGAUGGGUCUGCGGCCUAUCAGGUUGUAGUUAGUGUAAAGGACUAACUAGCCGACGACGGGUACGGGCCAUGGGAGUGGUAGCCCGGAGAUGGACUCUGAGACACGAGUCCAGGCCCUACGGGGCGCAGCAGGCGCGAAAACUUUGCAAUGCGCGAAAGCGCGACAAGGGGAUUCCAAGUGCAUGCACUAAGUGUAUGCUUUUCGUGAGUGUAAAAAGCUCAUUGAAUAAGGGCUGGGUAAGACUGGUGCCAGCCGCCGCGGUAAUACCAGCGGCCCUAGUGGUGAUCGUUAUUAUUGGGCCUAAAGCGUCCGUAGCCGGUUCGGUAAAUCUCUGGGUAAAUCGUUGGGCUUAACUCAACGAAUUCUGGGGAGACUGCCGAACUUGGGACCGGGAGAGGUCGGAGGUACUCCAGGGGUAGGGGUGAAAUCCUGUAAUCCUUGGGGGACCACCGGUGGCGAAGGCGUCCGACCAGAACGGGUCCGACGGUAAGGGACGAAGCCCUGGGGCGCGAACCGG
rnacentral:rRNA from 1 species